rnacentral:rRNA from 1 species
CUCAAGAUGAGAUUUCCCAUAGCAUAAGCUAGUAAGACUCCUGGAAGAACACCAGGUUGAUAGGUCAGAGAUGUAAGCAUGGCAACAUGUUAAGUUGACUGAUACUAAUAAGUCGAGGGCUUGACCAAAA